AUCACACGGGGAAACUCACCCGGCCCGGACACCGUGAGGAUUGACAGAUUGAGAGCUCUUUCUUGAUUCGGUGGGUGGUGGUGCAUGGCCGUUCUUAGUUGGUGGAGCGAUUUGUCUGGUUAAUUCCGAUAACGAACGAGACUCUGGCCUGCUAAAUAGUCCGCCCCCCGCCAAUGGAGGGGCGCCCGACUUCUUAGAGGGACCAGCGGCGUUUCAGCCGCACGAGAUUGAGCGAUAACAGGUCUGUGAUGCCCUUAGAUGUUCGGGGCCGCACGCGCGCUACACUGAAAGAGGCAGAGGGUCGAGUCCUGGUCUGGCGAGGCUGGGCAACCCGUGCACAAACUCUAUCGUGCUAGGGACUGGGGCUUGCAAUUCUUCCCCACCAACGAGGAAUUCCCAGUAAGCGCGAGUCAUCAGCUCGUGUUGAUUACGUCCCUGCCCUUUGUACACACCGCCCGUCGCUACUACCGAUUGAAUGGUUUAGUGAGGCCCUCGGACGGGCCCCGGGCCGGCCCUCGCGGCCGGCUGUCUUGGUGCUGCCUGAAAGAGCGUCGAACUUGAUCAUUUAGAGGAAGUAAAAGUCGUAACAAGGUUUC
rnacentral:rRNA from 1 species